rnacentral:rRNA from 1 species
AGUGAACGCUGGCGGCGUGCUUAACACAUGCAAGUCGAACGAGAACGGAUUAUAGCUUGCUAUAAUUGUCAGCUAAGUGGCGCACGGGUGAGUAAUGUAUAGGUAAUAUGCCUCUUACUAAGGGAUAACAAAUGGAAACGUUUGCUAAUACCUUAUACUCCUUAUUAACAGAAGUUAAUAAGGGAAAGAUUUAUUGGUAAGAGAUUAGCCUGUAUUGUAUCAGUUAGUUGGUGGGGUAAUGGCCUACCAAGACUAUGACACAUAACUGGUUUGAGAGGAUGAUCAGUCACACUGGAACUGAGACACGGUCCAUACUCCUACGGGAGGCAGCAGUGGGGAAUAUUGCACAAUGGACGAAAGUCUGAUGCAGCAACGCCGCGUGGAGGAUGACACAUUUCGGUGCGUAAACUCCUUUUAUAUGAGAAGAUAAUGACUGUAUUAUAUGAAUAAGCACCGGCUAACUCCGUGCCAGCCGCCGCAGUAA